CACCCGCUGAGUUUAAGCAUAUCAAUAAGCGGAGGAAAAGA
rnacentral:rRNA from 1 species